rnacentral:rRNA from 1 species
UACGUAGGGGGCAAGCGUUGUCCGGAUUUACUGGGCGUAAAGAGCGUGUAGGCGGUCCGGUAAGUCCGCUGUGAAAGUCGGGGGCUCAACCCUCGAAUGCCGGUGGAUACUGUCGGGCUAGAGUGCGGAAGAGGCGAGUGGAAUUCCUGGUGUAGCGGUGAAAUGCGCAGAUAUCAGGAGGAACACCUAUUGCGAAGGCAGCUCGCUGGGACGUAACUGACGCUGAGACGCGAAAGCGUGGGGAGCAAGCAGG